UACGGGGGGAGCAAGCGUUGUUCGGAUUUACUGGGCGUAAAGGGCGCGUAGGCGGUCAGCACAAGUCAAUUGUGAAAUCUCCGAGCUUAACUCGGAAAGGUCAACUGAAACUGUGCGACUAGAGUGCGGAAGGGGCAACUGGAAUUCUUGGUGUAGCGGUGAAAUGCGUAGAUAUCAAGAGGAACACCUGCGGCGAAGGCGGGUUGCUGGGCCGACACUGACGCUGAGGCGCGAAAGCCAGGGGAGCGAACGGG
rnacentral:rRNA from 1 species